rnacentral:lncRNA from 1 species
UUGGGAUCUAUUCACCCCCCUCUAGAUCUAGGCUCAUCGUCUAACAAUGUGUUCAUGAUCUCUAGCCAUGGUGAUGAAGAACAACGAAGAAGAAGAAGAAUUCUGGGAUGUGAUGUGGAGCGAAAGGAAGAGAGAGUUACAAAAGAAAUAAAAAAUCAAGGAACAAAAGAAAAGAAAUAAAAAGAUUUUUCUUGAUAAAUUUGAUGGGGAUAAGGUGUAAUCUAUCACGCCGUUGAUGAAACAACAUAUGGAUGACAAA